CAGUAUAAAUAUAUUUCCCAGUGUUAUUACUUUAUGCGUUUCCAAAAAAAAAAAAGGGCUUUAAUCAGGUGGUAACAUCUGUUGUUCAUCUUUUCUAUUUUUGUCUUUUAGAACUAAAACCAAAAAGCCGGAAGAAAAUCCGUGCUUUCUUGGCCAGAGCAUUGCGGGCUAUUAAAAAAGCCUGCUAUUGCUGCGGAAAUGGAAAUGAGGACAUUGUGGAGCCAUUUGAUCCUCAGGCAGGCCCAUCCGGCCUGCAUUGAAGUGCCCUUAUAGAUAAAGCUGACUUGUAGAGAGGUUCUGGUUUUAAGCAAACGUGUCAAGAACCACCCUAUUGUAGGGAUCGACCGAUAUGGAUUUUUCAGUGCCGAAACCGAUUUUUUUUCAUCAGCCUUAGCCGAUGACCGAUACAGGGUGCCGAUUUUCUUGAGCCGAUAUUUGGAGCCGAUACUGGUUUUGCUCACUCAAUUUACAUAAAAAAAUGGCAUGUUGUUAAAAAGAGAUGAUAUUAGUUUGCACAUUUACAUUUAUUGUAGUCUAGGACUAGUCUAAUCCCUGUCCAGGAAACCGCCCCAUAGAGAUGAAAAAAACCCACUUUUUUCAGCUAUGAUCAGCUGUUAAUCCGAGCUUUCAAUGUUGUUGUGAAAAGGUUGGUUGUUUUUAGUCACAUGACCUGCAAUCGCUUGCAGUUUCCAGCACUCUGUCUGUAAAUUAUGCCGGAAAAAUCGGCAAACACGGCAGCCAUGUAUCGGCCGAUGCCGAUACACAUAAAACUCGCAAAUAUCGGCCCGAUAUAUCAGGAAGUAGCUGAUCUGUCGGGUUCAUUGAGCCUGCGGUCAAGUGAUAGUGAUUGAAAAAUGUCAUUGCUUGAUGAAGAUUGGAGAUGGAAGAGGUGCCUUAGUAAAGUGUACGAGGGGACUCGCAAAUCGGAUGGCAAGAAGGUCACCAUCAAAUAUAUUAAGAAGUCUGGCAAGGAUAUCUACACUAAAAUGUCCUUGAGACAAACAGACCCAGUUCUGGCCACAGUGGAGGUCAACACACCACUGAUCUACUUGCCAACCUUCAACGUGAUGCCCAGCCGAUGCCUGACCAACGACCACGUUUCAUUAUUAAUACGCUCGCUUGUAAAGUUUAUUCAAAGCCGCUGUGUUUUGCUACUUAUUUUCUACUUUGAAAACAUUACAAUAAAUGUGAUGCCUUUUAUUUUCAAUAUAAUGCAUAUUUUUAUUAAAUAUAAUAAACAAACAUAAAUAUGAAAAGCAGUUGUUUUGUUCUCUUUAUUAUCAACUUUAUUCAAUAAACAAGACAUUUGUGACAAACAGUAAGAAAGUAAACUUUACCAUUUCACAGUAGAAUCCAUAAAGCCACACAGGUCUAAG